GCGGAUAUGAUGAAAUUGGUAGACAUGCUAGUUUUAGGCACUAGUGGAGCAAUCCUUGGGGGUUCAAGUCCCUUUAUCCGCA
rnacentral:tRNA from 4 species